rnacentral:rRNA from 1 species
UUGAACGCGUGGCGGCAUGCCUUACACAUGCAAGUCGAACGGCAGCACGGGUGCUUGCACCUGGUGGCGAGUGGCGAACGGGUGAGUAAUACAUCGGAACAUGUCCUGUAGUGGGGGAUAGCCCGGCGAAAGCCGGAUUAAUACCGCAUACGAUCUACGGAUGAAAGCGGGGGACCUUCGGGCCUCGCGCUAUAGGGUUGGCCGAUGGCUGAUUAGCUAGUUGGUGGGGUAAAGGCCUACCAAGGCGACGAUCAGUAGCUGGUCUGAGAGGACGACCAGCCACACUGGGACUGAGACACGGCCCAGACUCCUACGGGAGGCAGCAGUGGGGAAUUUUGGACAAUGGGCGAAAGCCUGAUCCAGCAAUGCCGCGUGUGUGAAGAAGGCCUUCGGGUUGUAAAGCACUUUUGUCCGGAAAGAAAUCCUUGGCUCUAAUACAGUCGGGGGAUGACGGUACCGGAAGAAUAAGCACCGGCUAACUACGUGCCAGCAGCCGCGGUAAUACGUAGGGUGCGAGCGUUAAUCGGAAUUACUGGGCGUAAAGCGUGCGCAGGCGGUUUGCUAAGACCGAUGUGAAAUCCCCGGGCUCAACCUGGGAACUGCAUUGGUGACUGGCAGGCUAGAGUAUGGCAGAGGGGGGUAGAAUUCCACGUGUAGCAGUGAAAUGCGUAGAGAUGUGGAGGAAUACCGAUGGCGAAGGCAGCCCCCUGGGCCAAUACUGACGCUCAUGCACGAAAGCGUGGGGAGCAAACAGGAUUAGAUACCCUGGUAGUCCACGCCCUAAACGAUGUCAACUAGUUGUUGGGGAUUCAUUUCCUUAGUAACGUAGCUAACGCGUGAAGUUGACCGCCUGGGGAGUACGGUCGCAAGAUUAAAACUCAAAGGAAUUGACGGGGACCCGCACAAGCGGUGGAUGAUGUGGAUUAAUUCGAUGCAACGCGAAAAACCUUACCUACCCUUGACAUGGUCGGAAUCCCGCUGAGAGGUGGGAGUGCUCGAAAGAGAACCGGCGCACAGGUGCUGCAUGGCUGUCGUCAGCUCGUGUCGUGAGAUGUUGGGUUAAGUCCCGCAACGAGCGCAACCCUUGUCCUUAGUUGCUACGCAAGAGCACUCUAAGGAGACUGCCGGUGACAAACCGGAGGAAGGUGGGGAUGACGUCAAGUCCUCAUGGCCCUUAUGGGUAGGGCUUCACACGUCAUACAAUGGUCGGAACAGAGGGUUGCCAACCCGCGAGGGGGAGCUAAUCCCAGAAAACCGAUCGUAGUCCGGAUUGCACUCUGCAACUCGAGUGCAUGAAGCUGGAAUCGCUAGUAAUCGCGGAUCAGCAUGCCGCGGUGAAUACGUUCCCG